rnacentral:lncRNA from 1 species
CGAGCUGGAGCCCCCUGCCUCGGGCGCGGCGCCGCUGGAGGCGGAGGAGGACGAGGAGCACUGGUUGUACGGGGAUGACACCACUGGUAAGCAAGAAGAUGGACCAAUUGCUAGACAUGCAGAAUCUUCUCAUCCUUUGCAAGAUGCUCCUCAGGAGAGCCGGCCUGUCACCAGUGAAGACCGAGAGAUGUCACAACAUGUAUGUGUUACAGCUAUAACUGUUGGAUGUGGCUGUUGCGGUGCAGUGCAUGUUCACUACUU